rnacentral:rRNA from 1 species
UACGUAGGGGCCAAGCGUUGUCCGGAUUUAUUGGGCGUAAAGAGCUCGUAGGCGGUUGGGUAAGUCGGGUGUGAAAACUCCAGGCUCAACUUGGAGAUGCCACCCGAUACUGCUCUGACUUGAGUUCGGUAGGGGAGUGGGGAAUUCCUGGUGUAGCGGUGAAAUGCGCGGAUAUCAGGAGGAACACCGGUGGCGAAGGCGCCACUCUGGGCCGAAACUGACGCUGAGGAGCGAAAGCGUGGGUAGCAAACAGG